GCGGCUGCGGGCUGGAGAAGGGGAGAAGCGGCCCCGGUGUCGGCCCCGGUGUCGGCCGGAGCUGCCCUCGUUCGCGGCCCGGAGCCGGGCACGACCCCGCGGUGCUUUUCUGAGAGGAUCUCCUCCGAGAUUAGAGCUAAAUCCUAAGAGCAACCGAAUGGCUGCGCCUGGCUUUCCCGGGACUGGGAGGAGAGGUGAGUAGAAAGCCCUCAGUGUGCAGAUCUCUUUCGAGCAGUGGUGAAGUCGAUGCGUUUCGCAGGGAAAAGAGGGGACGCUCGUGCAGUAUUUUAUACUCCGUCGUAUAAAUCGGGAACGUAAUUCAGGAUAUUCAUGGUAAUGAAUGCUCGGCUAAUCCUUUGGGUGCGCGGAGACCUACAGAGCAGGAGGUUAUGCAAAUCUUUUCCUACUUUUACAGCUGUACGUUUCGAACAGAUUUUUGAGAGAUCUGCUCAGCGGUGAAUGCUAUUUGUUUUCUUGCGAUUAUUUUUUUCUUCUCUCUUCCCCCCACCCCCCAACCCCCCUACCCCGCCACAAGGAUGCCCGAGUUCCAAACUCCCGAGGCGUCCCUUCAUGGCGACGCAGCCCAUGCGGGAACCUCAGGGACGCGUUGUAAAUAUUUGCAGCUCCCAAACGGAUUUUGCAGCCGUGCCCCCUGCUGUGCCCGAGCGCGCCUCGCUCCGAGAGGAUCGGCCCCAAAGCCCAAAGAGAAAUGAGGUGUCCGGUGUGGAAGUGCAUCUCAGUCAACAGCCAGCUCCUUUGGCCGGGGCUGGAAAUGGUUUUAACAGGCGGUAAAAUUUCAUCUUGUGGUGUCAAAUUGGGGUCAGUUUGGGGUUAGCGCUCUCAGUGUCCGAGAAGGAGCUGUCCAGCUGUGUGGGGAUUCAUUAAGGGCAAAAGAUCCGUUUCAAGAAAAACAAUACAAAGACAAUCAGAGAGCUAAAGAUCCUCUUCAAAUCGCAUUUUACAAGUGCACCAGAACAAAUAUGGACGCUGAAACCUAUUCCCUUCAAACUCCCAAAUCGGCUUCUUAGCCCUCGGAGGGAGGGAAAAUCCGCUGCAGCCCGGCCGGGUCUGCUUCCAAUCACCGCCCCGAGGUGCGCCGGGCCCCGCGCCGCCCUCGCCCGCUCCCCUCUCCCCUUCGGCGCAGCGCUGCGGAGCGAUGGCACCACAACAGGUAACAUCCCGGAAUGCGUCCCCCGGUGUGUCUGAGCCACUGCUGUGCGUGUGCCCGUGGGCGUGCAGCGGGAGCUUCCAUGCGAAUAGAAAGUUUGUUUUCGAGGGGACAGACCGUGCUUGUAUGAAACCCGCUCGCAUCCUUCGCAAAUGUCCCGCAGCCCUCUCAAGCAGCGCUGUGCUCCGAUAGAUAACGUGGAGUGGAUGUGCUGUGCGGUUCCCAGCAUCUGUGGGAAGCACCUAUUGCUAAUCUGGUUUAUUAAAUUCGCGUGGUUUAAAUCCUCUUAGCGCCCCUACAUCUGUUAGAACAAUUGACGCCUUGCUGCAGGGACAAAUAACUCCGGCCAUAAUCUCGUUUGUAACUUUAUUCAGUGUUUGUUUGUUUGUGCGCGGAGUUCGAGUAUUUGGGGGCGAUGCCAUUGUAUUCGGGAAUAUACCGUACAGCCAGAGCCGGAAUGGAUGGGCUGAGGGCAGAGCAGAGCGGAAUGAGUAAUUCCGAAUAUUGGAAGUGGCAUUUUAUCCCGAACCACCGUUCUAGGAGACGUGUCAGAGUUAAUGAAGAAAGCAAUCCACGUGUUAAUGCGUCUCCGGGCUUACAGCGUAACCGGGAUCCUGUGCAAAAUCCACGGGAUUUGUUCUUUCUGAUUCUCUCCCAAGACAACGCGUGGGGUGCAGAUAGUACCUCUGCGGUUUUGGAGUCAGGAUUAUUCCCCAGCUCAGACUCCCACCUCCGAAAUCGCCCUUUGCACCCUCUCCCCCCCCCCCCGUGGGCUCGACUCUUAGGGCCACUCCUGUCUCUCUCAGCCCACCUCGGCCCCCCGACCCCCCUUCCCGGGCUCCGGCGGCCGCCCGGCUCCCAGGGUAGUUCAAAAUCUAGUUUGCAUUUCUUCGAAGGAGCCCAGAACACAAAUAAAUAAAUAAAUAUAAUCCCUCUUUGCACUGUGAUACCGUAACGGAAAGGACAGCGAGGGCAAGCUUGUCAGUGUAGCGCAACAUCAGAGCAGCUGAGGAGCUCCCAACUCCGCUAGGCUCUGCUCUCGCUCACUCAGAACACUCGCUGCUGUUCCCCAGUUGCCCUUGGCACUUCAGAAGAGGACCGCUCGCGUUUGACGCCGGAGCUCUCCGUCCGGGAGAGAACAAUGUGCUCCCACCGCCUCUGGAGCUCUGCGGCUGCCCCCGCACACGCGGUGGCUCCGGCGCGGAGCGCCCCGCUCGGAAGGAGCCGCUCGGGCCAUUGUCUGAAGUGGGUUUCAGCCCAUGGAGAAAAGGGGGAAAAAAUCUCAGCAGCCCGGCUUGGUGUUGCACGGGGAAUGAGCUGACAAAAUAUUAUAGUAUGUUUCCUCGAAAUGCGUGCUGAGAGGAGAGAACUGUGGUGUGCUCCUGAGAGAGAGGUGGUGGUGUUCUUUUUCCUUCUUUCCUUCUUUCUUUCUUCUUCUUCUUCUUUCUUUCUUUCUCUUUCUUUCUUUCUUUCUUUCUUUCUUUCUUUCUUUCUUUCUUUCUUUCUUUCCCUCUUUCCCUCUUUCCCUCUUUCCCUCUUUCCCUCUUUCCCUCUUUCCCUCUUUCCCUCUUUCCCUCUUUCCCUCUUUCCCUCUUUCUUUCCUUCUUUCCUUCUUUCCUUCUUUCCCUCUUUCUUUCCUUCUUUCCUUCUUUCCUUCUUUCCUUCUUUCCUUCUUUCCUUCUUUCCUUCUUUCCUUCUUUCCUUCUUUCCUUCUUCUUUUCUUCUUAGAAGAUUGGGAUCGCCUUUGUAAGCCUUUCUUUUGAUCCCACAAAGAGAAUGCAAUAUGCAUAUAUGUAUUUGCUCUCCAUACAAACAACGCGAGAGACUGUACGACGGGAUAUACGGCCGGUUGGUCCUCAUAAUGCUUAGUUUUGCUGUAAUUAAUUGAAAACAGUUAUUAGGUCGUCAUUGGCAAUAGCGUAAAUAAUUGCAGCAGAUUUUUACUUAAAAUUGACCGGUCACGGAGUGAUAGAUCGAUUCGAGGUAUAAAAAUGAUGUAUCAAAACAUCAAUGUCGAUUAUUUGAAAUAUUGUAGUCGAAUCUUUUUAUUGCUUCAUCGGUUAAGUGUCUGAAAGUGCUGUGUUCCAACAUAUAUUUAUGUUGUCAAUACUGUCAAAACUGUCAGUUUUAUUACACCGGAUUUGUAAUACAUUUCGGAUUUGCUCAUUUACAUAAAAUGGCCACCCCGGGUACCCCCCCUUCUCCCCUCUCUGGAAAUCUCUGUCAAUGCUGAAAGGAUCCGGGACUCACAGCUGAGGCAAAAGAAGUACAAGUAUGGCUCCAUUAAGUCCAAUUCGAACGUCCCUCUGGAAAGCUCGGGUUAUUUCUAACUUGCCAUCAGAGGGAAUCCUCCCACCCCUUUACCUCCCCAGUAAGAUUUAAACACUUUUCUUCUCUCACACUUCGCUUAAACCCUUUAGGAGCGCCGAGAACCUGCACGGAGAGAACGGCGAGCCGGAGCCCACCUGGGAGCCCGGAGCCCUCCGAGCAGAGCGGCCCCGACCCGCCCGCGUAGGGCCGGGUGCGGGCAGCAGCGGGGAACAAAGGGAGCGAUGACCGUAGGGGAUCCUUCCUUAGCGGGUCGGAGCCCGAAGGAACGCGGAGUGGGAGCAGAGGGGCGUUCCGCGCCCCCUGUCCCGCAGCCCCCAUGCAGCGGGGUCUGAACUGGUGGUUCUCUUUAGCCGUGAGCCCUGAGUUGGUGUUAGCCCGGUGCCAGGCACCCCUCGCUCACGCUCCCCCCGCGCCCAGCCGGGAAGCGGCCAAGCUCAGCAAUAAAUCAAUCCGCUGCCACAUCGCUCCCUUCGAUCGAGCAAACACUGCGAUCCAGCCCGGUCACUUCUCCUCCCACCCCACCCGCUCUGAGGCUGACGCUGCUUCACGGGCUGGGGAGACGGACCCGAGGGAGAUGUAUGCUUAAAGAGCCGCUGGAGCGAGCCCCGAGUUCCCGGGGGAGAAGGAAGGUUGGCCCGUGGAGAGGCAGCCGGCAGCAAAGCAGCCGGUACUUCUCCGCGGCGUUUUCACGUCCGAAGAGUUUGCGGCGGGGUUUCCCGGCUCCCUGGGGAGGCUCCGAGGGAUGCAGCGGGCAGCGGAGAGCCGCGCCUCGGCGGGAGGCUUAGCGCAAGGGGACACGCUCAGGGAGCCGCGGUGACAUCCAGCAGCCCCUUGAGUUUCACAUGUUUUUCCAAUCGCUCAACCCCAAAUAUAUGGUGUCCCCCUCCCUCCCCCCUCCUCUUUCCUAGGAAUGCGCGUAAUAAAACCUAAUCGCCCGGGACUCUCCUCCUUUCUGCAUCUGCCGGACAAGAAACCGUGGGGGGACGAGGUCCUCCCGGCUCUGAAGCCGAGCUGCUAUGGGACGCCCGGCGGCCUCGGCCACGUCUGCACGUGGAAAACCUCGAAUGAGACUUUUGCGCUACAUUAACUGUCCCUCUGCCGUCCGGGGCUCCCUCUCCAGCAGCCGCCUUCUUCGUCUCCUGCAGCCAUCUCCGAAGCGGAGGUCGGGACGCUCACCCCAGGAGCGCAGCCCGGACCACGACAAAGUGGUCCAUGGUUCUUUGGUAUGUUGUUAUUCCCUGAAAGGUUGAGCAGGAUGAGUCACAGCAACACUGAGAGAAUGGAGGAUCCAGUUCUCACAGGACAGAAUGGUCCCACAGGAUCCAUGAAGGGGAAGAAGAGGGACAGUGUGCAGGCUAAGCAAUUUCUCGGACAUCAGCAGGUUUUUCACGUCAGAAUAAAAUAAUCUGGGUGUCUGCAGGUGCAGUGAAUUAGAUGGAAUAUUAUCCCUGCCUUGGAUUAAAGGGCAGAAACUCUCUUAGUUCCAAACAACAAAUCCUAUAACUGAAAUGUAUGCCUAACCACCUCGCUGUGUUUACGUACUUCCACUCACCACAUUUUUCCCCAUCGAAGUUAGUUAAUAAAGUCAAAGAGUGAAACACAUCUGGGCUGUAUCACGACUGACUUUAAUGCUGAUAACUUAGGGAGGAAAUUGUGCUGUGGUGUGUGACUACAGAACGAACGUCCAAAGGUCCAACGUCCAAAGGUCCUACGUCCAAACAAAGACACUGAGACAUUGUAGAUGUGAGAUUGUAAACCUCACUCAUCAGAAGGGCUGCCAAUCAGCCCAUAGGUCUCACCUAGAGAGGAAACAAAAGUUCGGAGAAAAUCACCUCAAGGCAGUGAAUCUCUGCAGACAAUGUUUUCAAAACUGACAGCCUCCAGUAUCCUCAGGCCCAAGUUCCGUUGCCUGAAAACCACCUGAAUGGAGGAUGUAGGGCUCUGCAGGCUGAGUUUGAAAGAUGCCAACUGUCCCUGUGCAAUGCGCUCAGCCUUCCUGCUCCUCCUGAUGGAACAUGUGGAUAAGCACCAGCCUUGAAGUAAGCCCUCAGCACAGGAAGCAUCAAUUCUUUAAUUCAUACUUCAGGGAUUUGCAGCCAGGGUUUUCAUUUGACACAUCUAGAUAUUUCUCAUGUUAUAGUGGUACAUUCUUCCUCAAAGUGUUUUUCAAAAUCAGCAGGCUUUUCAGGGAUGAAACAUGAUCGUGCACUAAUAUAUUCCAUUUUUAAAGUAUGUGCUAAUUAUCAAAUCAGUCUUAUACUACUUCAUAUACAUUUAUAGACAAUCACUAAUAGUGUCAUUGAUCUGCAAAUAAAUAGAUUUAGCAGAAGCUUUCCUUUGAUGUAGAUAAAUGUAAACAACAUUGAAAAAAAAUAGCGUACAAGUGGUUGUCCUGUUCUCUUACCUUAAGGCUAUAUUACGAUCACAAUCAGACAUAUCUAGGCAUGUGUCACACCGGAUAAUGCUAUUUCUUGGGCGUUUGAGGGCAGAUGACUUUACCUUGGACUUCACAAAAGCUGAGACAUGCCAUUUAAAAGCAUGAAUCUGGCAUUACUGAAAACCCUCGCGUAUCAUACUCACGUAUAUCAUUGUUAACCUACAUAUGAGAUGUUUUUAAAAAUCGCUUCACAUUUAAUACUGAAGUCAUUUUACUUCUAUUAUUCAUGUGAAGAGCUAAAAAUAAACAUCCAAAAUAUUUUUCUCUUUUAUGGAACAGCUGAUAAAAGCCUUCAUUUGAAGUGAACUCUUGGAUGAAUGCAGCCUUAUUUUCUGGGCUCAGAUCUCUUGUACCCAGUUGGGAACCCCACAUCAGAUCUGGGAAGUACGUUGAAUCUUCAGAGGAAAGGGGCUCUAUACCUCAUAAUAUUCAUUAGGAAUAUCUUAGGCAAACAGUUUCCAGCCUAAAACUCACCCAUGAUGUGCUCAUUUGGGCUUUUUAUUUUGUUAUUCUCGAUGUGUCACUGGUCACCUAUUACACUUGGUCUACUUCCCAAUAGGUUGAAUGGAAUUAUUUUAACAAGAGACAACAAAUAAUAAAAGUGCAUAACCCAUUUGCCUGUCUGUGUAUGCAUGCUUUUUUUUGGUGCAGUUAUUCAUAGAAAGCCUGAUUCUGACUCCACUGCAUUUGAUAAAGCAGGAUUUGAUCCAUAAAGAAAAUAGAUUUACCUAACGCUUGUUAAGGGAAAAUCCUCCUUGCUUUAAUUUUCAGUUGUAUGGCCACAAACAUGAUCCGAACAAGACCCAUCUGAAACCCCUAGGGCUUCUUUGUGAGUAGAGUUGCAAUAGCAGCCCAGGAAAACAACCAGUUUUGUUGCUACAGGUUAAUUUCAGCUUUCAAACAUUAUUGGAAAUAAUCAAUCGCCUUUCUUCCCCUCCCCCAGCUGAACCUUGGAUUGCUUCCUCUGACAAAUGGCUCUGGGCACUGAAGUAAGAGCAUACUGUUUGAUUCAAAAGAAUUUUUUUUUUUUCUGU
rnacentral:lncRNA from 1 species